AGGCUCCCAAGGUACUGUCGUGGAGUUUUCGACUAUUUCAAUGUCUUCGGGAAGUGAGCAAAUUCAAUUAUGGAGAAUCUGAUUUCUUAUGGCGAAUCCAAGUAGGACAUAUGUAUUUAGGAUUUAUGGAUCAGCCAGAAAGUUUUAGCUUUAGCAUCGAUCAAAAUUAAAUUUAACAAGCGAUGUACAUAAGUAUGUACGUCAGCAUACUGCUCUCUGCUAAUACAUUGGCACUCUGUAAAAGAUGGAUUUGAUCUAUUUGAUUGCGUGGCGUAGCAAUAUAAAUCUUAACGUUUUUUUGCUAUCGAAAUGGACUCUAUGAAUAUGUCAAUAAACACUACAUCAUCUGUAA